rnacentral:misc_RNA from 1 species
GAUGAAGAACGCAGCGAAAUGCGAUAAGUAAUGUGAAUUGCAGAAUUCAGUGAAUCAUCGAAUCUUUGAACGCACCUUGCGCCUUUUGGUAUUCCGAAAGGCACACCUGUUUGAGCGUCAUGAAUACCUCAAACUCCAUCUUUUCUUCGGAUUGAUGGGUGACUUGGAUGUUGAGCCCUGCUGGUAUGCUAUAUCAGCUGGCUUUAAACUUAUUAGCCGGCUCUGUACUGGAUCGGUUUGACUCGACGUGAUAAUAUUAUCGUUGAGGAUGCAUGUCUCAUGCAGCCGGAAAGUAUCAAAGCAGCUUCUAGCUUGACUUUAGUGCACUUUUACAUUUUAGACCUCAGAUCAGGUGGGACUACCCGCUGAACUUAAGCAUAUCAAUAAGCGGAGGA